GAAAAAUAUAACAUAAGGUUUACCUGCUUGAAUAAUACGAUCUUUGGCAGUGGACAAGUGAAUGAGAUAGUUGUAGCUGACUGCAAAUUGGAUGAAGUAGGUCAAAAGACUGCUAUUUGUCAAGAAAAUGGACAUUUUUCAGUUCGGGAGAAUAACUGUGUCUUAAAAGAAAUUGAAAACCUGUUUUUUUUAUCUCAGGCUUUAGUGGGGACUGGUCUUCCAGUUUUUU